rnacentral:rRNA from 1 species
UACCAGCACCCCGAGUGGUCGGGACGAUUAUUGGGCCUAAAGCAUCCGUAGCCGGUUCUACAAGUCUUCCGUUAAAUCCACCUGCUUAACAGAUGGGCUGCGGAGGAUACUAUAGAGCUAGGAGGCGGGAGAGGCAAGCGGUACUUAGUGGGUAGGGGUAAAAUCCGUUGAUCCAUUGAAGACUACCAGUGGCGAAGGCGGCUUGCCAGAACGCACUCGACGGUGAGGGAUGAAAGCUGGGGGAGCAAACCGG